rnacentral:rRNA from 1 species
CCUACGGGGGGCUGCAGUGGGGAAUAUUGGACAAUGGGGGCAACCCUGAUCCAGCCAUGCCGCGUGUGUGAAGAAGGCCCUCGGGUUGUAAAGCACUUUCAGUGAGGAAGAACGCCUGGUGGUUAAUACCCAUCAGGAAAGACAUCACUCACAGAAGAAGCACCGGCUAACUCCGUGCCAGCAGCCGCGGUAAUACGGAGGGUGCGAGCGUUAAUCGGAAUUACUGGGCGUAAAGCGCGCGUAGGUGGCUUGAUAAGCCGGUUGGGAAAGCCCCGGGCUCAACCUGGGAACGGCAUCCGGAACUGUCAAGCUAGAGUGCAGGAGAGGAAGGUAGAAUUCCCGGUGUAGCGGUGAAAUGCGUAGAGAUCGGGAGGAAUACCAGUGGCGAAGGCGGCCUUCUGGACUGACACUGACACUGAGGUGCGAAAGCGUGGGUAGCAAACAGGAUUAGAUACCCUAGUAGUC